AUGCCGUGUCACAUUCACACGAAGAAAGAUGAAGAGGGGAAUAUCAUUUACCCAAAGCACACCACUCGCCAAUGUCGACUCCUGAUCCAGCAGUUUCAGGGAAAACAGUCUAAGGACAAGGAGAAGGAGUCGGACAAGGCUGAAGACAAAGAGGACAGUGAGGGAGGAUAUCCGCAUAUCAACUCCACUCUGAUGAUCUUUGCAGAUGUGGAAAGCAGAAGUCGACUGAAAGUGAUUAACCGAGAGGUGAACAUGGUUGCCCCAGCAAAGGCAAAUUAUCUGAAGUGGUCUCAAACACCCAUCACAUUCGACCAAUCUGAUCACCCGACUCAUAUUGCCACCCCCGGGAGGCAAGCUUUGGUGGUCGAUCCAGUUGUCGAAGGCACUCGACUGACAAAGGUGCUGAUGGAUGGUGGAAGUGGGCUGAACUUAUUGUAUGCAGACACAUUGAAAGGUAUGGGCAUUCCGAUGUCCCGACUGAGCACUAGUAACAUGAGCUUCCAUGGAGUUAUACCAGGGAAGAAGGCCGAGUCACUCGGCCAGAUAGCUUUGGACGUAGUGUUUGGUGAUUCGAAACAUUUUCGCAAAGAAAAGUUGACGUUUGAGGUCGUGGAUUUUCAAAGUGCAUAUCAUGCCAUUUUGGGGAGACCAGCCUAUGCACGGUUCAUGGCUCGACCAUGUUACGUGUACCUCAAAUUGAAGAUGCCCGGUCCCAAAGGUGUGAUCACUGUCACCGGUGAUAGGAAAAAGGCAGAGGAGUGCUUUCAGAAGGGCUCCAAGAUUGCCGAUUCCCAAGUGACAGCGGUCGAGUUCGAAGAAUACAAGCAAAAUGCAGAUCCGAGUGACUUGCUGCGAUCCAAGAAGCCCGCCACAGAGUCUGCAUUCCAGUCAUCCGGUGAGACGAAGCCUGUUCACAUUCACCCGACCGACCCCGAAGCAGCUCCGACCCGCAUCUCCACAACACUCGACCCAAAAUAG
rnacentral:rRNA from 1 species